CCCACGGCUUGCGCCCUGGGCUAGAAUCUUGCGCCCCUCCGGGGCU
rnacentral:sRNA from 1 species